rnacentral:lncRNA from 1 species
GCUUUUAGCUUUUUAUUUAUUAACAGUGGAGUCCUGUUAUACAUACUGUUUCAGUAAUUCUGUUUAUGAUCUUCAGUCUAUCUUUUCUUCACCGAGGAACUGGGUAAGUGUGAAAGAAAAACAAAACAAAACCAAACAAAAGGUCUGGAAGCCUUAGCUCAAUCUGUCUUUGGAAACAGAAUUAAACAUGUAUACGUUACUUGGACUCCAUAGAACCUAAACUCCUAUAAAUUACAGCUCAAGCAUCUACACGUGACGUAGCGAAUGUUAGGAUCUGCUGUGUCAAGUUCCUAUCAUCCUUGGUGCAAACAUCAGUCAUUUAGUUCUUGCAAUAUUAUUUGGAGUUUUCUGCCAACGUGAAGGGAAAUCAAGACACUAGUGACGUAAUGGAAAAAAACUGCCACGGCAGCCAUUUUUUGAUGUCUUAGACAUACUUUAGUCAACAUUUACAUAAGCCGUAAACGGCCCACAUAUGAAAUUCCUUGAUGUAUCCUGUUAGGCAUCUUACCUCUGAACAUGGUAUUACAUACUGCCUCCUAUUUACGUUUCUGCUGAAGAAAUCAGUGAAUAUUUUACUAAUUAUCAUCAGUUAAUCGAGCCAGUGGAAUGUAGUGAUGUUAAAACCGUUGCUAACGUCUACUCCCAGAUAAUUGGAGAGACUUCACAUUAUCGAGAAUGGCUAGGAUCUUUGACGAGGCACCCGAAAGGGCUGGUAAAGAACGCUAAUCCAGUAAGUGGUACAGGGGUAACAUGUUUAAGAUGCGCUGGUGUGUGUGGAGGGGAGGUUCUACAAAUACGCUUGCUGAGGGCUCUGUGGCAAGUCCCCGGCCGUGACUCAGAGUUUAACACCCUGUUCUCCCCAGGCAUUUACUAAUUCCCUGUUGGUUUAAAGAGACAGCGGAUCAAGUCUCUAAUAUUUGGGGUCUAGACCUAAUGUGCAUGCAUUCUUGUCAUUUGCUUUCAACUUGCACCUCUCUAGGUUUCUAUCAAUUAAUUUUAAGCAUAGUCACAAAUUUAUCUUCCUUUUCUUGAAGAGUCUCCCAGUUCCUAGCCUCUCCAGACUCUGAUUACAAGAAGCUCAAUUCUGGACAUGGCCUUUUUCAUCCUAAGUGACUAAUCUGCAUUUCAAACUCUCCAGAACCCUAUUACUACCACUGGGUUUGUUACUUUUGCCAGCAAAAUUCUUUUUUUUUUUAAUUUCAAGACUUAAAUUUCAUUUUAAUAACAGCUUUUAUCCCAAUUAGGCCUAUGUUUGCAGAAGUUAACAAAGAAAGGGGUUAAUCUUACCGAGAGGACAGGUAUUUCCUUUAGAAGUGUCACGUAGUGACAAUCAUCCCCGUAAUUAUUUUCCAGAUGGUAACAAUAAAACUAGAUGUGGAGGCUAUCCGGAUUUAUCUGAGGCUAACACCCUAAGGAUGCAAGACCAGCACGUCCUGGGAGUUAACCACCUUAGGAAUUGCGAUUAUGCGGCGGGGGGCCCCAAGCACAAACACAUGUGUGCACGUCCAAUGGCCGGGUGGUCCCUCACCCCUCACACUCCUCACAGGGGAAUCUGCAAAUAGAAAUCUCCUCCGGCAAAUUCUCCCUUGGGGUGGGAGUGGGUGAGGACAGUGACAGGAAAAGUUCACCUUGGCAUUGCUAUGUGGCGGUGAAAGUUAGGACACUGUAAAGAUCAUUGUAGUAAGUAUGUCCCUUUCUGGGGCGCCUGGGUGGCUCAGUCAGCCAAGUGUCGGACUUUGGCUCAGGUCACGAUCUCUGAUCUCACAGUCCGUGAGUUCGAGCCCCGCAUCAGGCUCUGUGCUGACAGCUCGGAGCCUGGAGCCUGCUUCGGAUUCUGUCUCCUUCUUCUCUCUGCCCCUCCCCCACACGCACUCUGUCUCCCUGAAAUAUAAACAAACACUGGGGAAAAAAAAAAUAAAAUAAAAUAUGUCCCUUUCUUUAGCUAUCAAGAACACGUUCCCAUAUUCAUUCACAGAACCAGUCUUUUUCAUUUUCCCCACCUCUCCCGAUUCCCCCCACAUCUUCAACCUGGUUCUUCAACCUGGUUCCCCCUGCUGCCCAUGGGGGUGUUUCCACCAAGUUCAGAGGCAGUGGUACAGCUUCUGCUUUCUUCUGUGACCUGCACCCAUUUGUAAUUCUUACCCUGAUCAGACCUGCUAUUACUGGCCACCCAAAGCCUUUUCCCUGGAUCUGAUCUGACAUCACACGUCCCGGGAACUGACAGGAGACACACAGACUACGACCAACGACGGAACGAGUGCUGUCACCCACGCGGCAGUGUUACGUGCUUGUUGCUGGUCCUGAGAUAGGAAGAGUAACCUCCCUGGAGAAUACCUGUGCAGACUCAGGUCUUUGGCUGCCCUCUCCACUUAUAUUAAUAUGAUAUUCGUUCACUUUGACAUUGGAGCGAGAAAGCAGCGAGCGAUGGGAAGGAAGUACAUGGGGAGGGGGGAGGAGCGGUCUGUGUUCACACUCUAAUGGAAGAAAACUGACAGGCCACUUAGGGUUGGCCGGGCUGUAACAUAUCCACAGCCUCAUCACUCUGGAGGCACAUUCUGACAUAAUAACAAACGACUGAGAAGGAACCGCUUUUAUCUAGGUCAGAAUGACAGACCCCCGAGUGCUCGAGAGCUUGGGGGAACCACAGUCUGAAACGUCAGGAAGACAGCAAUCUGCACAGAGAUUUUCUUUCAUCAGGGCUGGGCGCUGCCUAAUGGUUUUCAUCCAACGCGUUGUAAUCACUCCACGGGCUUAUAAUGGCAUGGCGUUUUGAUUUCGGGGCCUACCAAAAUAAAAUGAACCACAUCUCAUGACGACUACAUUUAUAAUAAGAUGCAGAUGGUAAAGGAAACAGAUGCCUCUGACAUCAUCUCCCAUUUGCCUUCAACUUUUGCAGACACUGGCAGUCUGUAAACUCAUUCAAAGGGAUGCAAGAGAGUCAGGCAGGUUUCCAACUCAUUUCCAGCCUAAAAAAAAAACACUGGCAGCAUGGGCAUGGUUUUGAGUCGUACAGUGAUCAUUCCACAAAAAGAAAUCUGAUUCUAAGUCUGUGUCGGGCUUUAACGCAAAAUGAAUCGUCAGGGGGUGGGGGUGGGGGGAAUCCCCACAAACGUCCGGACUUCCACAAUUAAUAACCAUCGACUGGCUUGCAUGACAGUGACAGAAAGGACAGUGGGAGUGGUGGGAUGGGAACAGCUGUAGCUCCAAGGAGGCAAAGAAGAGAAAAGAGAGUUUUAAACAGACAAGCAAGUCUAAAAUACUCUCCCAGCCCUUGGUACCCAGGUUGUUCAAAGACUGACUCCUUAUUACUUCUGAAUAAAAAACUUAAAGGAGGCUUUUCAGAUCACUGUUUCUGACCUCCAAAAAGAAAAAAAAAAAAAAUGCUCAUUCUGUAUUUCCAUCUGUAUUUUCCAGAAGGAAUCCUACAGUUAUGAUAGGAGGUUUCACCAUUUCCCCAGUGAUAGCACUGAACAUUAUACACAAUUUUUUUUGGUGCAAGAUAAAUGUGUUAGAAGAUCUUUUAAAAAACAUAAGGAACUUUUGUAGUCCAUCUUGAAAGCAAGAGAUGCUUGGGCAAAGCAGCAAUUGAAAGGCCUUUUGCAGUGUUUGAGGUUCCCAUAUAGAUCAGCACAGUUACAGGUGAGGGAGAGAGUUCGACGAAAGCCCGGAAAAUCUUCCUACCUCCCCUGCCCACCAUCCCGUAACUUCCUCUGUGCCGCCNGCCGCCGUAGCGGGAACAUUGCAAAAAAAAAAAAAAAAAAAAAAAAGAAAAAGAAAACUUCAGAAACACAGGCAAGGAAAGCAGUGACGUAAAAAUAAAUCCCGCGAGGCCAAACAUGGUGCCUAUUUUUAAAAUAAUCUUUGUGCAAGUAACGAACGGAACACGCGCGCGCACGCACACACGUAGUACAAGAAUAAACAAACUCUUCUAGUUCACGUCCACAAACCGCGUUGGCAAGUGUUAGUGCAAAUGUCUGCUGACCUGCAGCGUUCAGUCCGUAAACUUUGGAUAUCCUAGACGCUCCAUCAGUGUCCAGCAGAUGUUCUCAAUCAGUCUAAUUUCAUCUCUAGGCAAGUUUUGUUUCCAAACAUUGGUGUUAGUUGGUGAUAUUUCCCCUUCAUAGGGAAGAUAGAAAAGGUUUGUGGAGGUGGCGAACAAUAUUUGGUUUAAACUAGCAGGAGACAAAGGUAUUCCAAGAAAGGCAAAAAUCCUUUCUGUGGUUUUCUGAGGAAAAUGUACAAUAUCUUCAAACUUGAUCAGCUGGUAGCUGGCGGGCAGCAAAUCCGUAUUUAUUCUCAGCGCUGCUGCUGUGUUUGC